rnacentral:lncRNA from 1 species
AAUAAAUUAAAAAUAUCAUUAAUUUUUAUUUAUUAAUUCAAUCAUAAAGAAAGAAGACUGUAGAUCAGAUAGUCAGUUCAACUGACAGUUAGGAUGCUAGGAUAAUUUAGGAUCUUCCUAACCAAGAAUUAGAUGUAGGUGACUUGAUUCAAGAAUCAUGAAGCAUGAAGUAGAAUCAAGAUCAAGAUCAGUUAACAGAUUCAUCAAAAUAGAUUUCAAGGGUAUUUGAC